GGAGUUGUAGCUCAGCAGUAGAGCCCUUGCCUCACAUGUGAGAAGCUCUGGGUUUGAUUCUCAGCACCA
rnacentral:tRNA from 1 species